AUUAUUGACGAAAAAAUUCGUUGGUUAAUCCAUCUGUAAAAAGAGCGGGAAUUUUUCUGCCCAUUUUUUCCCUCUGUCCACCAAAGGCAUUAUUUAUUUUGCCUUCUCUCUUACAAUGUUCAUUUUUUUUGCCCUCUCUCUCUUCAUGUGCUUUCCUUUACAUCUUCAUCUCUGCUCAAGUCAUUAUAGCUUAGAUGCACCUCCAUCUCCAUUCAGCCAGGCCGUCAUCUUCGUCCUCAUUGACGUCAUUGAGGUCUUCCUUUCAAUCUUCUUCUUCUCUACAACCUCUCCCAGAACCGUCCAAUGUCUCUUUUCUUCCCAUUUCAUGGUUUAGCCGCUUUUGUUCUUCCCUUUUCAAGCUCCAGGCUCUGCCACCACCAUGCAACACCACUUAGGGAAAAACAUUAGGGGAGCUUAGAAAUCUUUUGGGGGUUCAAAUUUCGUCCUCUCUCUCUUUUCACGUUCUUUACCCUCUUUUCUUUAUUUUUCAUGUUAUUUCUACAUUUCAUGGAGCGUUAAGCCUUUGGGGUUGAUUCUAGCCGUUGAGGUUGAUUCUAGCCGUUGAGGUUGAUUCUGUUGUAAUUUCUUAACUGGAUUCUAAGGUUAGAUGAAUAAAUUUGUUUGUUCUUUUGAUUCUUGUU
rnacentral:lncRNA from 1 species